AAGUCCAGAAAGCAGAUUCACAAAGCAGAGACUCACAGAAGCGGGGCUGUUGUGCUAUGCUGUUUAGAAGCUGGCAAACGUGCCCUGGAUCCUCCUCAAAACAUCCGGCUGAGACAAUGCAGUUUCGGGCUCACAGCAUUGUUCCUGGAGAGACCUGAAGAUCCCUGGAGGCUCCGGAAGCCAUGCAAGGAGCGACCCCAGGGGAGCUGUGGUUCCCAGGCCUCAGAGGUGAAAGACAGUGGCUUGCAAAUGCAGCGCCUCAGAGGUGAAAGAGACAGUGGCUUGCAAAUGCAGCAACAGCAUCCCAUGAGUGCAGGGGAGCGCUCUGGGUGGAGCAGAACAGUAAAGUUCAUAAAUUCAGCACGUCAGAGCAGCCUGUCUCCCCUAUUUACUCUGCAAGUCCGUGACAUCGCGAGCGCUCGCUACUUUACUUUGUCUUAAUGCUGGCGCGUUAACCUCUGAACGGUGACUUUCCAGCCACUAGCCUGGAGGCUGUAAGGUGCUUCUGUGCCUAUUUUUAGCCUCUUUUCCGCGAAGAAAAGAGAAAAUAAUAAUGUCUCGUUCCGGGGAUCCUUCUCAAGCAUGCACAGGAUCCAGGAGGCAACAGUAACAUCCCUAAGGAGCCAGUCUCAGAAGCAGGUGUGGGGCGCCCUCUCUCUGUUAUCAGAGAGGGUGCCGGAAAGCAGCUGGGCCACAGCGGGGCACUGGGCAGGAUCGCUACGAGGAAUUCAAUAAGGAUCUCACUUGGUGUCUGUUUGCUGAACUGAAUCUUGCUUUGUAGAUCUGGAUACUUGAAUUCUCCUGAAGCGCUGAGAUCUAAACAGUAUAUCACCUGUCUUGGUGUAUAAUAACUUUAAUAAGAUCCAGGCUUGGUUCACGCAGACGAGCUACUGAGGCAAACGCAGAUGUUCCCCAAGCAUCUGGACCUUCUAAAAAUGAAGCGCCACCUCACCAGCAGCAAAGCAGCUUGAAGUUAAUGAUGAUUAACAAUGGGAAAGGUUUGGUCAACAUAUUUUCAGAAAGACACGUCUUGUGACAAGUGUGCAAAUGACACCUAAGGCUCUGGUUUCGAUGAAAACUGGCCCCAUCUUCCUGGAGACUAUUAGCCCGCAUCCUACCGGAUAGCGUGCACCUAAAGUUCUCAAGAGCUCCCUCAUCCUUGGAAGCAACAAUAUACAGAGGGGUGGAUAUCCCAGAGAAAAUAAACAGAUGAAAGUCU
rnacentral:lncRNA from 1 species